AUGUGAUGUGACAUGCCCGUUUGGGUUUUACUAUGAUAUUGAAUUAUUAUUAUUAUUUAAUUGAUUUGGAAAACGGGGUGUUACAAUCCU
rnacentral:pre_miRNA from 1 species